GUGGGGAAUUUUGGACAAUGGGCGCAAGCCUGAUCCAGCAAUGCCGCGUGCAGGAAGAAGGCCUUCGGGUUGUAAACUGCUUUUGUACGGAACGAAAAGGUCUGGGUUAAUACCCUGGGCUCAUGACGGUACCGUAAGAAUAAGCACCGGCUAACUACGUGCCAGCAGCCGCGGUAAUACGUAGGGUGCGAGCGUUAAUCGGAAUUACUGGGCGUAAAGCGUGCGCAGGCGGUUUUGUAAGACAGGCGUGAAAUCCCCGGGCUCAACCUGGGAAUGGCGCUUGUGACUGCAAAGCUGGAGUGCGGCAGAGGGGGAUGGAAUUCCGCGUGUAGCAGUGAAAUGCGUAGAUAUGCGGAGGAACACCGAUGGCGAAGGCAAUCCCCUGGGCCUGCACUGACGCUCAUGCACGAAAGCGUGGGGAGCAAACAGGAUUAGAAACCCGGGUAGUCC
rnacentral:rRNA from 1 species